rnacentral:rRNA from 1 species
AACGAACGCUGGCGGCAUGCCUAACACAUGCAAGUCGAACGAGACCUUCGGGUCUAGUGGCGCACGGGUGCGUAACGCGUGGGAAUCUGCCCUUGGGUUCGGAAUAACUCGCCGAAAGGCGUGCUAAUACCGGAUGAUGUCGUAAGACCAAAGAUUUAUCGCCCAAGGAUGAGCCCGCGUAAGAUUAGGUAGUUGGUGAGGUAAAGGCUCACCAAGCCGACGAUCUUUAGCUGGUCUGAGAGGAUGAUCAGCCACACUGGGACUGAGACACGGCCCAGACUCCUACGGGAGGCAGCAGUGGGGAAUAUUGGACAAUGGGCGAAAGCCUGAUCCAGCAAUGCCGCGUGAGUGAUGAAGGCCUUAGGGUUGUAAAGCUCUUUUACCCGGGAUGAUAAUGACAGUACCGGGAGAAUAAGCCCCGGCUAACUCCGUGCCAGCCGCCGCUGUAA